rnacentral:rRNA from 1 species
AUACGGAGGGUGCAAGCGUUAAUCGGAAUUACUGGGCGUAAAGCGCACGCAGGCGGUUUGUUAAGUCAGAUGUGAAAUCCCCGGGCUCAAACUGGGAACUGCAUCUGAUACUGGCAAGCUUGAGUCUCGUAGAGGGGGGUAGAAUUCCAGGUGUAGCGGUGAAAUGCGUAGAGAUCUGGAGGAAUACCGGUGGCGAACGCGGCCCCCUGGACAAAGACUGACGCUCAGUUGCGAAAGCUUGGGGAGCAAACAGAAUUAGAUCCCCUGGUAGUCCACGCCGUAAACGAUGUCGACUUGGAGGUUGUGCCCUUGAGGCGUGGCUUCCGGAGCUAACGCGUUAGGUCGACCGCCUGGGGAGUACGGCCGCAAGGUUAAAGCUCAAAUGAAUUGACGGGG